UUCACUCAUCUCCAUCGUUCUACAGAGAGAGAGAGAGAAGGAGAGACAUAAGCUUUGUUCUUCUUCUCUAGUGGCGAUUUUGUGUCUGUGUUGAAGUGUAGAGGGUCUAAUUUUUUGAAAAAAGGUACAGAUAUGAGUUUUUCGUAAUCAAAUUCGAGUUCAAAAUCAGUUUGGAGAAGAAGAGAAUCAUAUCAAUGUAGAGGUUUACCGAAGAUAUGUCAAUGUGGAAGCUCUAUUGCAAUGCAUAUAUCGAGAACUGAAAAUAACCCAAGGAGGGUUUUCUUCCGAUGUUCUUCGCAGGAGGGUAAUUGUGCACAUCUAUUCAAAUGGGUUGACGAGGCUUUGGUCGAACAAAUGGAAGACUAUGGAGAGGAGCUAAGCAAAGUCAAAGUCUAGUUCGGAAAAAAAGAGAAGACUGAUAUGGAAAAGAGAGAGGAGAAACAAGAUUAUCGAGAGGAGUUGCAAAAGCUUAUAGUUCAGAUGGAAAAAAUGAAGUUUGAGAUAGAAGAGUUAAGAGGUUUCAAAAGUAAUGUAGUUGUAGUUGUCGGAGUUGUCGGGGUUAUAGCUUUGGCAAUCAUAUACUACUAUGGAUUACUACUUAUUUGAUGUAUUUUGGACGUAUGUAUCAAUUGGAGAAGACAAUUAUGAUGUAUUAGUUAGAGAAGACAAGAUCAUUAUAUAUGUUAUUUGUGAAGAAAACAUUGGAUGAA